GAUGAAGAACGCAGUGAAAUGCGAUAAGUAAUGUGAAUUGCAGAAUUCAGUGAAUCAUCGAAUCUUUGAACGCAUCUUGCGCUCCUUGGUAUUCCUUGGAGCAUGCCUGUUUGAGUAUCAUGAGCAAAUCUCAAAGUCAAUUCCUUUUGUUAAUUCAAUUGGUUUUGCUUUGGACUUGGAGGUCUUGCAGAUUUUCACAGUCUGCUCCUCUUAAAUGCAUUAGCUGGAUCUCAGUAAUUAUGCUUGGUUCCACUCGGCGUGAUAAGUAUCACUCGCUGAGGACACUGUUAAAAAGGUGGCCAGGAAAAUACUGAUUGAACCGCUUCUAACGGUCUAUUAAGUUAGACAAUUACCCUUAAGUUUGAUCUCAAAUCAGGUAGGACUACCCGCUGAACUUAAGCAUAUCAAUAAGCGGAGGA
rnacentral:misc_RNA from 1 species